UACGAAGGGGGCUAGCGUUGCUCGGAAUUACUGGGCGUAAAGCGUAUGCAGGCGGAUCGUUAAGUCGGGGGUGAAAUCCCGAGGCUCAACCUCGGAACUGCCUUCGAUACUGGCGACCUUCGAGUCCGGGAGAGGUGAGUGGAACUCCGAGUGUAGAGGUGAAAUUCGUAGAUAUUCGGAAGAACACCAGUGGCGAAGGCGGCUCACUGGCCCGGUACUGACGCGUGAGAAUACGAAAGCGUGGGAGCAAACAGG
rnacentral:rRNA from 1 species